rnacentral:lncRNA from 1 species
UCUCCUCCUUUCUCUCCAUGUUUUUCUCCUCUAUCUUCUCCUUAUUUAUCUCUAUCCUUUCUUCCUCUAUCUUCUCCUCCUUUCUCUCCAUGUUUUUCUCCUCUAUCUUCUCUUUAUAUAUCUCUAUCUUUUCCUUAUUUCUCUCCAUUUUUUUCUCCUCUAUCUUCUCCUCAGCAACAACCUUUUCUGUGUCUAUCUCUUCUAUCUUUUUCACCUUUCUUUCUAUCUUUUCCCCAUCAACAACCUCAUCAAUUGAUGUCUCCAAAUUCCUGAAGGUAACUUCAUAGCUCUUGGAAUCGUACUUCUCCAGAAAUUUGUCAAAAUUUUCUUUAGAUCUUUUGAGUUGUUCCCCAAAAUCAGCUACCUUUUGGCAUAGUUGUUGAUCAUACUCCCAC